rnacentral:lncRNA from 1 species
GCUGUUUUUGUAAUUCUUCCAGGCGUGCCUUGAAUUUGUCCUGUAAAGUAUUCAGAUUUUGAAAAUGUGAAAACCAUGUAGAUGAAUCAAUUGUAGAAUAAUUUUCAUCAUGUUUUUUGGUGUCCUUCAAGUCAUUUAUAAGGUUCCAGUAUAGUUUUGGAUUGUCUGCGUGUAAAUUUUCUAAUUGAUUAAGCAAGGAUUGUUUGUAUUGUCUGUAUGUUUGUUUCCUUGUUUUAUUGUACUGACGAUAAAGUUUGUAAAAAUGAUUUUUAACAAGUGGGUCUUUUGGAUGCUUUGAGUAUAUUUUCCCAUAAUUUAAAAGAUGCAUUCUCAUAUUUUUUAGGUCCUUGUUAAACCACUUUUUGUGUUUUUUAUGUUUUUUACUGUUUAUUUUUGGUCUUUUUAAAGAUUUGCAAGCAGCUAAGUGUAUAAU